CCAGCAUAUUGUAGACUAUCAUAAACACAUUUGUUUAUAACAAAAAGUAAUAAAAACAUAUGUAAUUUUUUUUAAAUUGGACGUAUUGCUAUUUUUAUCCUAGUCGAAAUUAUGAAACGAAACGUUUUGACAGUCCGUUUGCCAAUAAGCAGUGAUCAGUUUCUUUUGUUUGUUUUUCUAUUGUUUACCUACUAUAUUAGAUGAUGACUUACCUCCAAAACGCUUUAAACUUUCGUUUAUAAUUCUAAGUGUGUUUAUAAUUAAAGAGCUACAGUGAAAUAAAAUGAAUUCUGUAAGUAUCUAUGAACUACAUUGAUAAUAAUAAUUUUACUUUGAAAACUUUGAGUUCAAGUUUAGAAAAUAUAUCUUUUUCAGUCAAGAAAGGCAGCACCCAUGACAAAAGAUGAGACGAUGAUUCUAGCAGAACUUGUGGCGGCAUUUCAAUAAUAAGGCAACAAAUGCCACAAACAAUAAAUUGAAGGAGCAGGCUUGGCAAACCCUUGUAAAUGAUUUUAAUUCGUCGAUUCGUCGUUUCCCACGAACUCCAUCGCAGCUUCGACUAAAAUGGGAAAAUUUAAAGAACGCUACGGCAACAUAAGAAACAACCUUAGUAAGGCUGGAGGUGGUAACGAUUGCAGAUGAAAUUUUGGAUAAAGCAUGCACAUUGUUGUAGGUCACAUAUAAUAUUUUUAACACUUUUACAGCCAAGCGGAAACAAGAUGGAAGAAAAGAAAUGCAAGGCUAGCAUGGGGACAAUGCAUUAGCAGAAUAUCUAAUAGCAAAAAAGAGACUUGACUUGGAAAAUAAAGAAAAGGAGAUUGUUGUAGCAAAAGUUGUUAGAUUUAGAUAAUAAAAAAAAAUUAAAAAUUACUUAAAAGGAAUAUUAAAUUUCAUAAAUUAAGUAGGCAAUAAUAAUUUUAUGUUAGAUAGUUUUUUAAGUAUAUGUACAAAUUCUAAAUUAAAUAUCUUGCAUGUACUAACUACCAUGUAAUUAUCAUUUUGGAAAAUAAAAAAUAGUCAAAUUA